AGAGUUUGAUCCUGGCUCAGAUUGAACGCUGGCGGCAUGCCUUACACAUGCAAGUCGAACGCGAAAGGGGGCAACCCCGAGUAGAGUGGCGAACGGGUGAGCAAUACAUCGGAACACGUCCUGUAGCGGGGGACAACCUCGAGAAAUCGAGGCUAAUACCGCAUACGAUCUACGGAUGAAAGUGGGGGACCGCAAGGCCCCACACUAUAGGAGUGGCCGAUGCCGGAUUAGCUAGUUGGUGGGGUAACGGCCUACCAAGGCGACGAUCCGUAGCUGGUUUGAGAGAACGACCAGCCACACUGGGACUGAGACACGGCCCAGACUCCUACGGGAGGCAGCAGUGGGGAAUUUUGGACAAUGGGCGAAAGCCUGAUCCAGCCAUGCCGCGUGAGUGAAGAAGGCCUUCGGGUUGUAAAGCUCUUUCGGCCGGGACGAAAUGGCGCGGGGUAACAUCCCGCGUCGAUGACGGUACCGGAAGAAGAAGGACCGGCUAACUACGUGCCAGCAGCCGCGGUAAUACGUAGGGUCCAAGCGUUAAUCGGAAUUACUGGGCGUAAAGCGUGCGUAGGCGGUCUCGCAAGUCCGAUGUGAAAUCCCCGAGCUUAACUUGGGAACUGCGUUGGAAACUAUGAGGCUAGAGUGCGGCAGAGGGGGGUGGAAUUCCAGGUGUAGCAGUGAAAUGCGUAGAGAUCUGGAGGAACACCGAUGGCGAAGGCAGCCCCCUGGGCUAGCACUGACGCUGAUACACGAAAGCGUGGGGAGCAAACAGGAUUAGAUACCCUAGUAGUCC
rnacentral:rRNA from 1 species